AGUGAACGCUGGCGGUAGGCCUAACACAUGCAAGUCGAACGGCAGCACAGUAAGAGCUUGCUCUUACGGGUGGCGAGUGGCGGACGGGUGAGGAAUACAUCGGAAUCUACUUUUUCGUGGGGGAUAACGUAGGGAAACUUACGCUAAUACCGCAUACGACCUACGGGUGAAAGCAGGGGAUCUUCGGACCUUGCGCGAUUGAAUGAGCCGAUGUCGGAUUAGCUAGUUGGCGGGGUAAAGGCCCACCAAGGCGACGAUCCGUAGCUGGUCUGAGAGGAUGAACAGGCACACGGGAACGAAGACAGGGUCAGGGCGGCGACGUGAGGCAGAGGGUGGGGAGAGGGGACAAUGGGCGCGAGCAUGGUCCAGCGUUAACGAGGGGGAGAAAAAGGCGUACGGUUUGUAAAGCCAUUUUGGUGGGAAAGAAAAGCAGCAGGUUAAUACCCCGCUGUUCUGACGGUACCGAAAGAAGAAGCACCGGCUAACUUCAUG
rnacentral:rRNA from 1 species